GGCAAGUGUAGUGGGUUGAAUGGUGGCCCCCUCAAAAGAUAUAUACAUAUCCUAACCCUCACGACCUGUGAAUAUGACAUUAUUUGGAAAAAGAAUCUUUGCGGACGUGAUUAAGUUAAAGGUCUCAACAUGUGAAAACAUCCUGGCUUAUCUGAGUGAGUCCUAAAUCCAUUGACAAGUGUCUUUAGAAAAGACAGAAGAGGAGAAGACAUGGACACAGGACGAGAAGGCCAUGUGGGGAUGGGGGCAAUGAUUAGAGUGAGGGAACCCCAAGGCAAGGAACUCUUAGAGCCACCAGGAGCUGGAAGAGACAAGGGAGGAUUCUUCCCUGGAAUCUUCAGUGAGCGCAGCCCUGCCACCACCUUGAUUGUGGACUUCUGGUCUCUAGAACUGGGAGAAAAUGAAUUUUUGUCCUUUCAGGUCACCAAAUUUGUCAUAAUUUGUUACGGCAGCCUGGAAAUGAAUACAGCAGGUGAUUCCAGGUCAACAUCUCUGCUGCUUCCUGCUUCAUCUGCCCUUCAGCUUGUAUCUGUUCUUCUACUUAGAAGUCAGAAACUGUGUUUUGCUGCCAUGGAAUCCAUAUUGGGGAAGGAUCCCAUAAGUGGACCAAGAGAAGAGGAAACUAUUCCAGCAUGCUAUCGCUGGCUCCUCCCAGCUCUGCUUAGAACUCAUCAUGGGCUGCUCUACGCUUGGCUGUCUGGUUCUUAUGAACAGCUAUGUCACAUUUAUUUAGCACAAGCUAUGUGCCAGGUCCUGCGCUAAAUGCUUCAGCUAUGCUUAUCCUAUUUAAUUUUUGAAACAGUGCAGGUAAUGGUGAUGCAAAGUUGCCUGGUAAACAAUUGAAUGAGAAAACUAAAUAAGAAUACAACCUGUUUCUUGGAUUGUGAA
rnacentral:lncRNA from 1 species